rnacentral:rRNA from 1 species
ACGCACGCUGGCGGCGUGCUUAACACAUGCAAGUCGAACGGGUCUGCCCUGUUUUUUGCGGGGUGGGUCAGUGGCGAACGGGUGAGUAACACGUGAGUAACCUGCCCCUCACUUCUGGAUAACCGCUUGAAAGGGUGGCUAAUACGGGGUGUUCUGGCUGUGCCGCAUGGUGUGGCUGGGAAAGAUUCACUUUUGUGGUGUUUUGGUGGGGGAUGGGCUCGCGGCCUAUCAGCUUGUUGGUGGGGUGAUGGCCUGCCAAGGCUUUGACGGGUAGCCGGCCUGAGAGGGUGGGCGGUCACACUGGGACUGAGAUACGGCCCAGACUCCUGCGGGAGGCAGCAGUGGGGGGUAGUGCACAAUGGGCGGAAGCCUGAUGCAGCGACGUCGCGUGAGGGAUGGAGGCCUUCGGGUUGUGAACCUCUUUCGCCGGUGAAGAAGGUCCUGCUCUUUGUGGUGGGGUUGACGGUAGCCGGGUUAUGAAGCGCCGGCUAACUACGUG